CGUCUUGAACGUGAUCUAAUUCCUUUUGGUCCAUCGGGAAAACGCAUCACAAAACCAGUUGUCAAACACUGUUCUGGAAACGUGGGAACGAGAUCUAUUCAGAACCGUUAAGAACUCGCCCAAACUCCUUUGAACGUGACGGGAAACGGAUCACCAAUUCCACCACUUGAACCUUUUCCUUCUUUCACAUAUACACACAAAAACCCAAAAGCUAACUUGAUCUAUCUGCCACAAAUUCAAUGACUAAGAGAGACAAUUCCACUAGAAAGAAGGCAUAAAUAGAUUAGGUUUUCCUUACCCAAUCAAGCCGUUGUUUAACGGUGAUGAUCCGUGACGUUCGCUUUCACUCCACACUUGUUCGUGAUCAAAA
rnacentral:sRNA from 1 species